rnacentral:rRNA from 1 species
GAAANCGGGGGAUCUUCGGACCUCGNGCCAUUAGAUGAGCCUAGGUCGGAUUAGCUAGUUGGGUGAGGUAAAGGCUCACCAAGCCGACGAUCUGUAGCUGGUCUGAGAGGACGACCCAGCCACACUGGGACUGAGACACGGCCCAGACUCCUACGGGAGGCAGCAGUGGGGAAUUUUGGACAAUGGGCGCAAGCCUGAUCCAGCAAUGCCGCGUGCAGGAUGAAGGCCUUCGGGUUGUAAACUGCUUUUGUACGGAACGAAACGGUGAGCUCUAAUACAGUUUGCUAAUGACGGUACCGUAAGAAUAAGCACCGGCUAACUACGUG